GGCGUCUCAUCAGGAUCCAAACCGUUUGCAAUUCUGAUAGUAUUCUGUGAAAAAAAUCAAAGAGAAUUUUAAUUUUAGAAAUUCAGCAGACGACAUUUUAGCUGACAACAAAUUUCCCAGCAUGCAAAGGGUAAAGAGUAACAGGCUUGUCAGGAGCUAUAAUGGCUGAAUAUUGUAUAAAACCCAUUUUUGCAUGACAUCGCUCAAAUAACGCAAAUGAAGUCAGCUGUUCCCUCUCGAAGUGUGCUUGCAUGUCACUGUAGUAUCAGCCGUGUGAUAUUGCAUUGAAUGGUUCCGACGUACCUACCUACCAACACUCAAAGCCUACCCUCCUCCCAUCAUCCCAGUGUGUUAUGCACAAGCAGACAAUAUCUUGCACCAAAUAUGACAUUAAAAUGUACCAAUAUAUUAUUAUAAUGUUUUCAUAUAUCAGACUGUUUACAUUUAUAGGCAAACUUUACUGUUUCUUAAUAUAUAGCACACAGACGUCAAUAUUUCUCAAAUUCGCACACAAAGAAUCUGAAAUCUCUAAAAAAAAUAAUAUAUGAAUUAAUUGCAUAAUUAUACAAUAAAAUUCUUCUUCAUACAUACAGUGCACUUAAGUGAAUAAAAAUUGAUUUAUUUUUACUGUGUAAAUAUAAUGGAUAUAUAUGUAUUCUGUGUGUAAAAUAUGUAAGAAAAAGACAUAAGAAUAUCAUGUUAAGUUUUAACUGAAUGCAUUUUUGUGUAUACCAUACUAAGUUUCAAUGUUAUUCAUGGUGGUCAAUUUAUGGAAUAUCAUUUUUAGCGAGGCUGUUUUCGGAGAAAACCCGAGCUAUUUUCAUAGCCAGCUCGUCGUCCGCUGUCCGCCGUAGGUGUUGUGCUAAAACCUUAACAUUGGCCAUAACUUUUUACGCCCCCCGGAUCGAAAGAUCGGGGGUGUAUUGUUUUUGGCCUGUCUGUCUGUCAUUCUGUCCCAAAACUUUAAUAUUACAGUAAAGUUUUGCAAUAACUUUUGAAAUAUUGAACAUAGCAACUUGAUAUUUGGCAUGCAUGUGUAUCUCAUGGAGCUGCACAUAUUGAGUGGUGAAAGGCUAAGGUCAAGGUUAUCCUUCAAGGUCAAAGGUCAAAAAAAAGAAGAAAAAGCAGCGCAUUAGGGGGCAUUGUGUUUCUGACAAACACAUCUCUUGUUCAAUAUUGAAGAUAGCACCUUGAUAUUUGGCAUGCAUGUGUAUCUCAUGGAGCUGCACAUUUUGAGUUCAAGGUGAACAUCAUCCUUCAAGGUCUAGGGUCGAAAAAACAAAGUCAAGGGAAGUAAUAAGCUUUAAAUGGACAUAAUUAUCUGACCUGCCCACGUAUAUAUUUUUGUUAAAUAAAUCAAAUCGGCGCAGUAGGCGGCAUUGUGUUUCUGACAAUCACAUUGUGGUAAAAGGUCAAGGUCAUCCUUUACAGUCUAUGGUAAAAAAUACAGAUUUAAGGGAAGUAAUAAGCUUUAAAAAGGGAGAAAAUUAUUAAAUAUUGAACAUAGCCACUUUAUAUAUUUGGCAUGCAUGUGUAUCUCAUGGAGCUGUACAUUUUGAGUGGUGAAUCUACAGUCACAGUAGUGGCUUUUAAUUAUUUGCUACUAAAAAUAGAGAUUUGUUACAGACAAUUAUUUUCAAGGGAAGUAAUUUAUAUAAUUAUAAAUCUCAUUUUAUAUAUUUCCUUACCAAGAAUUGAAGUUUUUUUCACAGUUACUGUACAGAUUUAUUAUUUUGAUUAUUUAUAACCCAAAUGAUUGAUUUGUCAAAGUUUCUUUUUAAAUGAUAUAAUUAUAAUUUCUUUGAUGUUCAUUACAUACCUGUGGACUUAUGUCCAUAGAUACAUGAUCAACUCUGGUUAUGAUUUUGUAAAAAAGAAAAAAACAACUCUGGUUAUGAUCUCUUUUUAACCACAGGCCUUGAUUGUCAGUGAUGUCCAACAUGGUCAUUAUUGACUGUGAGACCCUCCCC